ensembl:piRNA 21ur-12520 ncRNA
UAAUAGAACGUUUGGAAAAUU